rnacentral:rRNA from 1 species
AUUGAACGCUGGCGGCAGGCCUAACACAUGCAAGUCGAACGAGUGGCGGACGGGUGAGUAAUGUCUGGGAAACUGCCUGAUGGAGGGGGAUAACUACUGGAAACGGUAGCUAAUACCGCAUACCAUCAGAUGUGCCCAGCUUGGAUUAGCUGGUUGGUGGGGUAACGGCUCACCAAGGCGACGAUCCCUAGCUGGUCUGCGAGGUUGACGGGCCACUCUGGAACUGUGACACGGUCCAGAAGCCUACGGGAGGCAGCAGUGGGCAAUAUGGCACAAUGGGCGCAAGCCGGAUGCAGCCAUGCCGCGUGUAUGAGGAAGGCCUUCGGGUUGUAAAGUACUUUCAGCGGGGAGGCGUUACCCGCAGAAGAAGCACCGGCUAACUCCGUGCCAGCAGCCGCGGUAAUAC